AAUGGGUGUGCCUGAGUCUUAUCACCUCUCAACUAGGUUAGCUGUUUCAACCUGGAACAGUAUUCCAGGUUUAUAUAUAGCACAUGCUCCACUCUCAAGUUGAAGUUGAACUUGUUGACUGAUGCCAUGGUGGCGGCUGCUAAAAGGAAGAUAGCAGCUGCGAACCAGAAGACUGCAUCCUGGGCAGCCCUGGUCCACACCUGCCCUGUUUGUUAGAGGCAGACCCCAAGACAUUCAAGCAGCACUUUGAGAGCAACGAUUCCAAGUCUCCAAUGGCCCCGGUACUGGUUGAUGUGCCUAUGUAACCACAUACACUCAAAUGGACCUACAGCUGGGGCAAGAUAGUGUAAACCACCAUGUUGUCAACUAAAUGCUGUCCUCAAUGCUUAAGUUGUAUUGUCUAUGGCUCAAUUUGUGGAAUUCUGUGAUCACUCGUCGUCUUUAAUGUUGUGAUUAUCAGACACACGAUGACCAGGAUUGACGUCAAGGGACACGCUGAGACCCUGAGUAUGGCAGGUGGUGGGCCGGAUAUUUGUGACAACGAUUUCAAAGGGUUGCAGGCACACUAGCACUCCAUUUUUAUCUUUAUUCCAUGACCAACCUCUAGCUACCCCUUAUUCCACACUAUGCCUUUUAUGCCCCAAGGUCCCUCAACUUUGGGCACUUUGGAACUUUCCAUCUUAUCUCUAUAAAUGCAGCCUACCUUCACCCAUUUUCCCUAUGUUGCUUUCUUCCCUUGUUGUUCUUCUGAUUUGAUAACAUCUAGACUCAGUAACAUGUUUAAAAGUUUUAUGGUGUACUGUUUCGCUACCCUUUUCUCCUGUGUAGUGCUGUCCUCCUGCUUUUACCUGGGAUUCAGACUGAAUGCAGCUCACAAAUGACAGCAGCAACAUGUACCUGUUCAAUUGACAAGCAGGGUGUUGAUAUAGCUGUGUUUAGAGAUGGCUUCCUUGUUUUGAGUGUUAAUUGUGUUUCUCACUCUGCUGGAGUUGAUCUAGUGUUUUCUAUAAAACCUACCUUACGCAUGA